UACGGAGGAUGCGAGCGUUAUCCGGAUUUAUUGGGUUUAGAGGGUGCGUAGGCGGGCUUUUAAGUCAGCGGUAAAAAUUCGGGGCUCAACCCCGUCCGGCCGUUGAAACUGGGGGCCUUGAGUGGGCGAGAAGAAGGCGGAAUGCGUGGUGUAGCGGUGAAAUGCAUAGAUAUCACGCAGAACCCCGAUUGCGAAGGCAGCCUUCCGGCGCCCUACUGACGCUGAGGCACGAAAGUGCGGGGAUCGAACAGG
rnacentral:rRNA from 1 species